UAGGGAAUCUUCCGCAAUGGGCGAAAGCCUGACGGAGCAACGCCGCGUGAGUGAAGAAGGAUUUCGGUUCGUAAAGCUCUGUUGUUAGGGAAGAAUGAUUGUGUAGUAACUAUACACAGUAGAGACGGUACCUAACCAGAAAGCCACGGCUAACUACGUGCCAGCAGCCGCGGUAAUACGUAGGUGGCAAGCGUUGUCCGGAAUUAUUGGGCAUAAAGCGCGCGCAGGUGGUUUAAUAAGUCUGAUGUGAAAGCCCACGGCUCAACCGUGGAGGGUCAUUGGAAACUGUUAAACUUGAGUGCNGGAGAGAAAAGUGGAAUUCCUAGUGUAGCGGUGAAAUGCGUAGAGAUUAGGAGGAACACCAGUGGCGAAGGCGGCUUUUUGGCCUGUAACUGACACUGAGGCGCGAAAGCGUGGGGAGCAAACAGGAUUAGAUACCCUGGUAGUCCACGCCGUAAACGAUGAGUGCUAAGUGUUGGUCUCAUAAGAGAUCAGUGCUGCAGCUAACGCAUUAAGCACUCCGCCUGGGGAGUACGACCGCAAGGUUG
rnacentral:rRNA from 1 species